AAAAAAAAAAAAAAAUGGGGUGUUACAAAGUAAACGAGAGUCGGGAAGCGUCAGCGAGUGUUUACCUUUUCAGGAGUCGGGGUGUAACCACGUGUUGCGUGAUAUUUGCAAAUUUUGAUCUUUUAUAAGUGCUUUGGGGUGUUGAAAUGUGAUUGAACAUGACAAGUGACGCGCACACAGCACCACGUGGCCUCACCUUCCUGGUCUUGAUGGCGUAGAUGGUGCAGAAGAUCACGAGGAUGAGGGGGUAGAUGAGACCCACGAUGUAGGAGUAGUCGUCCAGCCCACCGCAGAUCCUCACUUUGUAGUCAGUAGUCGGGUAGCACAGCGUCUUGGUGCUGGGCGGCCUGAGCACCAGCCAGCACACGUUGAUCACCACCUCCACGCUCACCAGCAUCACCACGAUCACCACCUGACUCCACGGCGACGUGUACCGCGCCUGGAGGGGAAGAGGAAGGUGGACUGGCUUCAAACACCUGUAGAGACUCGUACGUGGCGCCAACCCUGGGACAAGAAGAUGGGGCAAGGUGGUGUUCACUGGUCGCCGGCAUCAAGGACAGGCACAUCGGCGAGGGUGUGAGGUGAGGCGGCGGAAGGUUCACUGGUUUACGGGCAGAGGGCGUCACGGGGCUCAGUCAUAUUCCCACCUGCACUUCUUCCCCCUGACAUUUUCCCCUCAGCAGCUUCCUCCUCUCGAUAUAUUCCCCUCAAGACAACUUCCCUGUGGACAUUUUUUUUUCCCUUUUCCCUUCUU